rnacentral:lncRNA from 1 species
GUAAAGACAUGCCCAUACUCUCUCCUGGCUCACAGGACUGCCAGAGUCCAAACAAACCAGAGCCAACGCAAUAUCUCCCACACAGCAAGAACAGAAAGAGAAAGAAGCAUCUAGUCUGAAAUCACUUAUUCUUGAUGAGGAGCUUGAUAUGUUUAUCUCUCACUAUUUUACACACUGGGGCAGUCAAAGUCAUUUUUAACUAAGCUGAGGAAAAGAGGGACAACUGGGAUGAAUUUACAGCCAUGUCCCACUGUAUUCCUAUAUAUUUGAAUACUUUUUUAGAAUGGUCAAUUUAUCUGUACGUCCAGCAGCAGCAGAGUACUACAUGGAUUCAUGUAAACUUCUUUAUCCAUUUUAACACAAGGACACAUGCUUUUCAACAACAUUCAUUGUGGUCCAAUUAUAUUUGCAGUGCAAGUUUUGAAUUAUUAAGCAGACCGGAGAGGGCGAGAGAGUCUGCCAAAAAAGGUUAGUUAAAUUAGAUAUAAUCUGGCUGGGAGUUAAUACGCUUGAUCGGUUUCAACCACAACCUUCAGAGUACAGAAAAGACUUCAGUUCAGCCUCAUUUCGUAUUGACCUGACCUUCCAGUGACUGAGAUGAGACAGUUCAGUGCAAAACAUUAGAGCUGGCGGGGAAGCACAGAGUGAACAAAUUCAGAUCCUUUCACACAAGAGAGGAAAGGGAGGAGAUUGGCGAAAUAGCAACAGAUUAUUGAUCUAAAGGCAAGGAGUGAGAUGACAAUGAUGAAACUGGGGAAUUGAAAGAGGGAAACUUCCCUUACAGGAUGUCUGUGUGCAUCCUUUCAGAUCACGUGAUAUAAUAUGCAGCUAAGCAACGCACUCAUGCCUGGACCAGAGCAGAGAACAGCACAGCCAUGGAGACAUCGCAGGACUCCAACAUGCCACUGACCACACAUCCCUUCAUCGUGAAACCUGUGGAAAACACAAACUACACAAGCUUCUUCAACUGUUUCUUCCGGUGCAGAGGUAAGAAAGAAAUGAGAGGUCUGGGAACACACUCCAAUGGUGGUGUGAAGAACAAAACCCACAUCAAGAUGCCUUUCCACUUCCGCAAGAACAAGAAUAAUAAAAAUGAGCCAGUGGUGGAGCCAGAUCUCCCUCCAGGUACACUGAUACGCCCAUCUCUCUCUCCCCCAUCUCUCUCCCUCAUCUCUCCCAUCCCCAUCCCUCUUUCUCUCUCUCCCCCAUCUCUCUCCCUCAUCUCUCCCAUCCCCAUCCCUCUUUCUCUCUCUCCCCAUCUCUCUCCCUCAUCUCUCCCAUCCCUCUUUCUCUCUCUCUCAUCUCUCCCCCAUCU